rnacentral:rRNA from 1 species
UACAAGCCCGUCUCGUACGGCAAC